rnacentral:rRNA from 1 species
GACGAACGCUGGCGGCGUGCCUAAUACAUGCAAGUCGAACGAAACUUUCUUACACCGAAUGCUUGCAUUCACCGUAAGAAGUUGAGUGGCGGACGGGUGAGUAACACGUGGGUAACCUGCCUAAAAGAAGGGGAUAACACUUGGAAACAGGUGCUAAUACCGUAUAUCUCUAAGGAUCGCAUGAUCCUUAGAUGAAAGAUGGUUCUGCUAUCGCUUUUAGAUGGACCCGCGGCGUAUUAACUAGUUGGUGGGGUAACGGCCUACCAAGGUGAUGGUACGUAGCCGAACUGAGAGGUUGAUCGGCCACAUUGGGACUGAGACACGGCCCAAACUCCUACGGGAGGCAGCAGUAGGGAAUCUUCCACAAUGGACGCAAGUCUGAUGGAGCAACGCCGCGUGAGUGAAGAAGGUCUUCGGAUCGUAAAACUCUGUUGUUAGAGAAGAACACGAGUGAGAGUAACUGUUCAUUCGAUGACGGUAUCUAACCAGCAAGUCACGGCUAACUACGUGCCAGCCGCCGCAGUAAGAC